rnacentral:rRNA from 1 species
GUCGCUACUACCGACUGGUCGUUCUUCUAAGGCGCAUGGACGUGGGCUUGACGGAAUUUCGGUUCUGACUAGCCUGCAUAAGUGCGUCGCAGGAUUGCGAUUGGAGGAAGUAA